GCGGGUGUAGUUCAGUGGUAGAACGUCUCGUUGCCAACGAGAAGGUCGUGGGUUCAAAUCCCAUCGCCCGCU
rnacentral:tRNA from 2 species